rnacentral:rRNA from 1 species
UACGAAGGGGGCUAGCGUUGCUCGGAAUCACUGGGCGUAAAGCGCUCGUAGGCGGCUUGCUAAGUCAGGGGUGAAAUCCUGGAGCUCAACUCCAGAACUGCCUUUGAUACUGGCGAUCUUGGGUCCGGGAGAGGUGAGUGGAACUGCGAGUGUAGAGGUGAAAUUCGUAGAUAUUCGCAAGAACACCAGUGGCGAAGGCGGCUCACUGGCCCGGUACUGACGCUGAGGUGCGAAAGCGUGGGGAGCAAACAGG